rnacentral:lncRNA from 1 species
GGGCCAUCCAAACCCAUUGGCAGAGAAGAGCCCAGAGACAGUGUCAACUGAACAGAUGAUCACAAAAGAGAAAAUAAUUGACAGGAUUUCACCAAGAACUCUUUAGAAUGUUUUUAAAAGUAGCAUGCUUAUUACAGAAAUUAGAAGAGAAUUAGUUUUCACUCUAAAGGUUAAGGCAUAGCUAAAGACAGCAAAGCUAAAGAUGCCAGCUAAGGGAAUAUACAGGUUAAGAAGAGACCUUUUAAAAAUAUGAAAUGUUUAAAAAGUAUUAAAGAUAAGACAAACCUU